rnacentral:lncRNA from 1 species
UGUAAGUUUCAUCAAAACAUUGUAUAAGGGCCUAUGGGAUUCAAAGAUUACAACCAUUUUGGCCAUGAUUCCCAUGAAUUCAUUGGUUUGAUGCAGGCGUAUGACUUGUGGAAUGAUGAGAGAGGCACAGAGUUUAUUGAUCCAUCACUGGAUGAUUCAUCUUCACCUUGUAAAAUCAUGAGAUGCAUGCAAAUCGCGUUGCUCUGUGUCCAAGAAAAUUCAGGGGACAGACCAUCCAUGUUAGAAGUGUUCACCAUGCUCAAAAAUGAUUCCAUGGCGGCUUCGUCUCAUAAAAGGCCAGCUUUCUCUGUGAAAGCAGAUAAAAAUACAGGGAGCCCAUCCGCAUCGCAACAAGAAAUAUGCUCAUUCAAUGAUCCACAAAUUUCCGAAUUGGAACCCCAAUGAGGGUGAAAGUCUUUUUGAAGAUGUGAUAGCCAUAAAUUUCCUCUGAAAUGUAUUUUCUGGCAACUAGUUAUAAUUUUUUAGUUACAAUAGUUGAAAAUUUUUAUUACCCAAAGAAGCAAGCAUAACCCAAGUGGUAGUUCUAUCUCGUUAUGUUCGGGGAAAAUUUGGGCUGCCGGUAGAUGUGCAUCUAGGCCCAGUUGACUUUGGGGACUCUUAAGCAGAAUAGGCCUAUUUUUGUGACGUGUGACACACUCACACACAUUGCACAGAGGCUACUACAUGAAUUUAACCCAAGAUCAAGUGGCCUUUUCGUAUACGAAAGGUUGUGUUGUGGUGAUUAAUUUGAAGCUGAAAAGGACAACGAAAAUUAAUUAAGUUAAAUUUUCUCUGCGUGAAGGAGGGCUGCUGCCGCUUUGCUUCAGUAGUCCACUUUCAACGUAAUCGUGUCAAAUCAAAAGACGUAGUGAAUGCCAAAAAUUGUUUUAAGACUGAUCAGCCUGAGCGAAGGGACGGGAAAGCAACCGUCUGAGAAAAGGAUGGUUUGACUGUUUAGACUUCUAGCGAGGAUUUAAGGGAAGGAAAGCUAGGAGUUCCUGAAUUAAGGGAACAAUUAUAAACCGGAGAACAAAGGCAAACUAGACAAAUAGGCUUUCGACCAAGUCAAAACCAAUCACAGGUUGAUGGAAAAUCUACGAAACACCUAGCGUCAGAACCAGUUACCAACUCUCAGGUUUAUUUUAAGCAAACAGUAGCAGUCAUUUACGUGGGUCGUGUCUUUUUCUCAUUUGUGUUCCUGUCUCUUUAUGCAAGUGUCCAUCAACAAAGACACUCCUGAAACGUUAAAGAGAGAGUUUAUUAGUCAAGCUUGUGACUCCAAUGACAAAAGCCCAAAUCUUGCCGCUGCAUGGAAGAAGUUGAUAGUUUUUUGGUAACUUCUUCAAAAUCUUGCCCUGAACCUCUUCAUUACUACCCAACCGGGAAGUCUUAGUCACAGCACAUUAACUUUGGUUGGGUUCUUUCUACUUAGUCCAUAUAUUGAUCUUUCCUGAUUUUUAAAACCCCAAUGUUAUAAAACAUUGAAGUCAUAAAGAAAGUAGGUUUUUUAUUAUCCUCCAGGACAGAAGCAACCAAUAGCGUCCUUUAAUUGCUGGCUUUCUUUUGGCAAGAUGACAAGAUUUUGAGAUGAUAUGCUGAUCAAGGCAUAGCAUCUUAAAAUCAUGUGCUCUUUUGUUCUCCAGGGAACCUAUUCCUGGUUUCUGAUAAUGAAAUUCACUUCAUUUAAAAAAAAAAAAAGGGUGUGCUUUAAUCUACCCUGAAGUACUUCCCAUUCCCACUCUGGAACCGUUGCGUAACCGAGGAGUUACUGUCAACACGUGAUGUACUGAAGAUGAGAAAUAAUAGUAGUUGGUAGGCAUCAAUCCCCGGUAAAUAUCCGCAAUCCACAAUGUUUUGAUAUUGUAAAGCUUAGUUUAGAAUUGUGGUACUUUUCAUAUCAUAUAUGUUUUGUUCGCUGGUGUUAUGUAUGUUCACACCAGUUAUACUCUAAUUAUAAUACGAACAGUUUACAGUACUCUUCCUAUUCUGGGCAGAUUGUUAAUAAAAAUACCUUACUCGCUGAGAUAAAAAAAAAAUCCGCAGUCCAAUUUCCAUGGCGUCCCAAACAAUCUUCAUCCUUCUUGUCAUCUUCCUUUCUUCUCAAUUAUGGCACUCCUCAGAAGCACAAACUUGGGUUAAAGCUGGCUACUGGUAUGCUAAUGGUGAAUUUCCCAUACAAGACAUAGAUUCUGCGUUGUUUACUCAUCUUUCAUGUGCUUUUGCUGAAGUGAACCCUUCAACUUAUCAGCUGUUUAUCCCCUCUGCCUCUGAACAAUACUUCUCAAACUUUACAAGUAUCGUCAAGCGUAAAAACCCGUCUGUUAAAGCGUUGUUGUCCGUCUGGAAUGGGAUAUCUGCAACAGGAAAAUCCAUAACUGGUGAAAAGGUAAACGACUCGGUAUUAUCUUCAAUGAUCUCAGAAUCUUCUAAAAGGAAAUCUUUCGUUGAUUCCUCAAUAAAAACAGUUAGGCGUUAUGGUUUUCAUGGAAUAGACUUGUUCUGGCUUUGGCCUAACAGCACAGACUUGGCCAAUAUUGGUGUUUUAUUAGAUGAGUGGCGAGCUGCCAUAAAUUCUGAGCCAAGAAAACCAAGCGAGUCACAAUUGAUCUUAACAAUAGCUGUUCGUUACUUGCCAGAAAUUGAAAUGGUAAGUUAUCCAAUCGACUCCAUGAGUAGAAAUGUUGAUUGGGCGCAUGUUGUGGCAUAUGACUACCAUUUGCCUUCAAGGGAGAAUUUCACAGGCGUCCAUGCUGCUUUGUAUAAUCCAUCAAGUCAUGUUAAUACAGAUUUUGGCAUCAGAGAAUGGUUAAACAAAGGAUUUCCACCAAGCAAGCUGGUUUUAGGUUUGCCUUACCAUGGAUGGGCAUGGAAAUUGGUGAGCCCCCAAGAUAAUGCUGUUGGGGCACAUGCUUCAGGUCCAGCCAUCACCAUUGAUGGUUCUAUGGGCUACAAAUCUAUCAAAUCAUAUAUUCGAGAUUAUGGUUAUGGAGCUGCUUCUGUAUACAAUGCAACUUAUGUAGUGAACUUGUUCACCUCUCCAACAAUUUGGAUCAAUUUUGAUGGUAUAGAGACUGUCAAAACAAAAAUUGCCUAUGCAAAGGAGAAAAGGCUUAUUGGUUACAAUGCGUUUCAGCUUUCCAAUGAUGAUAAUUGGGCGCUAUCACGGGCAGGUAGGUACUAAAUUUCUUAUUAAUGUUAUCAGGCAUAUGACGGUUUCAGUUUGGCACCCCUGUCUAAUCCCUUAAGGCAUGAGGCUGACUCAAAUGCUGUAAGAUUCUGGUCUUAAGAAGAGUACAACAACUGGAGAGAACAAAUCAUUUUUAUGAACUAAAUUAGACCAGCAGGAAUUUCAUUCCUCAGAUUGCUUUCAAUCAUCUCAGAAGAUUUUGUGCUUCACUCGGUAUUAAGAACUCUGCAUCAAACAGAGAGCUAGGACAUGGUUUAUGUCAUUUGCUUGCUAUGUGUAGCUUAAGAUCUUUCAGAACUUUCUCAAAUCAAUCUUACAGAAAUCAAACAAAGUAGGUACCGAAAAGUUUAACAAUUUUGAUGGCAGACUCUAAUUAAUAUGCUAAACUACAUUGACAGCUCAAGAGGGAGAACUUCAAGAAAACAAGCAGCGGUUGUUGCUUAAAAUCAUCCUUCCAGUUUCUCUAGUUGUUGUCCUGGCAGCUGCUAUCCUGUAUUACUUGAGACGAAGAAUGGUCAAAUCCGAAGGUAACUGCCUUCAACCAUUGAGGAUAGGAAUUGAAACAAAAAUUUAAAUUGAUAUCAAGGCAUGAAAGGAACCAUUCUUCUGGUUUUUCCUUGCAAUUCUUUUACAGAGGAAAUGGUUUUAAGAGGCAUUCCUGGCCCAAGAAUCUCUUCAUCAGCUGCUGAAAAUUUUGCCAGUGAUGCUCCUCAUUUGCAAGUGUUUAGGUUUGCCAACAUCAAAGGGGCUACAAAUAAUUUUUCAAGUGCAAACAAGCUUGGAGAAGGCGGAUUCGGUCCCGUUUACAAGGUACUGUAUGUGUGAACUACUUCUGAAGGUGUUGAGAUAGAUAGCACAUGAAAAGAUAGAGCAGGACAUGUAAUUCAAACCAGAAUAAAAACUACAACCUCCACUGACUGUUGAAGGGCGAAUUUUGCAUUCUGCAUGUAGAAAAGCACACAUAAUUCUAUCGGCUUUGUUAAGUGGUUGGAGUUUUAUAUCUAUUUAAUGCACUUUCUUUCGGCAGUAAAGCUAGCUAGGUAGCAGACAAUGCAAAUUUAUGAGUAUCCCUUUUGAACUUUUAUAGGGUAAACUUCCAAGAGGCCAAGAAAUAGCAGUAAAGAGACUUUCUGCAUCUUCUUCUCAAGGACUUGAGGAGUUCCAAAAUGAGGUUACCUUGACGGCGAGACUUCAACAUGUAAAUCUAGUAAGAGUCUUGGGAUAUUGCACUGAGAAAGAGGAAAAGAUGCUGAUAUACGAGUACAUGCCAAAUAAAAGCUUAGAUCUAUACCUCUUUGGUACGCUAAGUUAAUUUUAUGUCUUCUAUUACAGUUUAAAGCACAUUAUGGACCCGAAAUGGCUUUUUCUUUUCCUCUGUUGUCUUUUUGGGUUCUAAAAUUUUCAACUGAGCUGCUAAAAUUUUGUGCAGACCCUAUCAGGAGGAGUAGGCUGGAUUGGAAAAAGCGUGUGCAUAUCAUAGAAGGGGUCACUCAAGGGCUCUUGUAUCUGCAAGAAUAUGCAAAUAUUACAGUGAUUCAUCGGGAUCUAAAAGGUAGUAACAUAUUACUGGAUGAUGAGAUGAACCCCAAGAUAUCAGAUUUUGGGAUGGCUAGACUUUUCAGUAAAGAUGCAUAUGAAGCAAACACUAGCAGAAUUGUUGGAACAUAGUAAGUGAACUUGGAAACAGAAUUUGCUCCUUUUUGAUGUAUGCUCACUUGCUUAGCGUUUUAAUCAACACAUCAAUGCAGCGGCUAUGUUCCUCCUGAAUAUGUAACAAAAGGUACCUACUCCAUGAAGUAUGAUGUUUACAGCUUCGGAGUUCUACUUCUGCAAAUCAUAAGUGGCAAGAGGAAUACAUGUUAUUACGGCCCCCAUGAGAACUUAAACCUUCUUGAAUUUGUAAGUUUUAUCAAACCAAUGUUUUGAGAUAUUGUAUAAGGGGCCUAAGGGGUUCAAAGAUCACAACCAUUUUGGCCAUGAUUCCCUUGAAUUCAUUGGUUUGAUGCAGGCGUAUGACUUGUGGAAUGAUGAGAGGGGCACAGAAUUUAUUGAUCCAUCACUGGAUGAUUCAUCGUCACCUUGUAAAAUCAUGAGAUGCAUGCAAAUCGCGUUGCUCUGUGUCCAAGAAAAUCCAGGGGACAGACCAUCCAUGUUAGAAGUGUUCACCAUGCUCAAAAAUGAUUCCAUGCCGACUACCAGUCCUCGAAGGCCAG